rnacentral:rRNA from 1 species
AUUGAACGCUGGCGGCAUGCCUUACACAUGCAAGUCGAACGGUAACAGGUCUUCGGAUGCUGACGAGUGGCGAACGGGCGAGUAAUACAUCGGAACGUGCCCGAGAGUGGGGGAUAACGAAGCGAAAGCUUUGCUAAUACCGCAUACGAUCUCAGGAUGAAAGCAGGGGACCGCAAGGCCUUGCGCUCACGGAGCGGCCGAUGGCAGAUUAGGUAGUUGGUGGGAUAAAAGCUUACCAAGCCGACGAUCUGUAGCUGGUCUGAGAGGACGACCAGCCACACUGGGACUGAGACACGGCCCAGACUCCUACGGGAGGCAGCAGUGGGGAAUUUUGGACAAUGGGCGCAAGCCUGAUCCAGCCAUGCCGCGUGCAGGAUGAAGGCCUUCGGGUUGUAAACUGCUUUUGUACGGAACGAAAAGACUCCUUCUAAUAAAGGGGGUCCAUGACGGUACCGUAAGAAUAAGCACCGGCUAACUACGUGCCAGCCGCCGCCGCGGUAA